rnacentral:rRNA from 1 species
UUGUGGUUAAAAAGCUCGUAGUUGGAUCUCAACAGCCUUGNAAGCGGUUAACUUUGUAGUUUUACUGCUUUAUAGGCUGUGCUUUUGCUGGAGGUUUAGGGGUGCUCUUGAUCGAGUGUCUCUGGAUGCCAGCAGGUUUACUUUGAAAAAAUUAGAGUGCUCAAAGCAGGCUAAAAUGCCUGAAUAUUCGUGCAUGGAAUAAUAGAAUAGGAUGUCGAUCCUAUUUUGUUGGUUUUCAGGACUCGACAUAGUGAUAAAUAGGGACAGUCGGGGGCAUUUGUAUUCAAACGACAGAGGUGAAAUUCUUGGACCGUUUGAAGACAAACUACUGCGAAAGCAUUUGCCAAGAAUGUUUUCAUUAAUCAAGAACGAAAGUUAGAGG